GGGAUGUGUCAGGAGGAAAGCCAAGGUCAGAAGCCGGAAUCAGACAGGAAAUACUGGAACGCAGAUAUAGCAAGACAGGAACCAAACAAGGGAACCAGAGUCAAUGAACUGACACUGCCCUCAGGGAGAGGCAGUGUCUUAUACCUGGCUAAUUGGUGAUCAGCCACAGGUGUGCUGAGAUCGUUGGAGCAGCUACAGAAUAACGUCCAGCCCCCAGUGCUGGGUACAAGGCAAGAUAGACUUCUGGCUAUCUCUCGAGCUGAUAUGGUGGCUCAGAGGCAAAAUAGCAGCCCCAGGACUGCAAAGUACCCUGGUUCAAGUCCGUCACCGGGCACUUCUGGGGCGACCUCGUCUGGCCGUCGGGAUGUCGCGGUGAGAACUGUGACA